rnacentral:rRNA from 1 species
AUGCGUAGGGGGCGAGCGUUGUCCGGAAUGAUUGGGCGUAAAGGGCGCGUAGGCGGCCUGUUAAGUCUGGAGUGAAAGUCCUGUUUUCAAGAUGGGAAUUGCUUUGGAUACUGAUGGGCUUGAGUGCAGGAGAGGUUAUCGGAAUUCCCGGUGUAGCGGUGAAAUGCGUGGAGAUCGGGAGGAACACCAGUGGCGAAGGCGGGUAACUGGACGGCAACUGACGCUGAGGCGCGAAAGUGUGGGGAGCAAACAGGAUUAGAUACCCUGGUAGUCCACGCCGUAAACGAUGGAUACUAGGUGUGGGGGGACUGACCCCUUCCGUGCCGGAGUUAACACAAUAAGUAUCCCACCUGGGGAGUACGGUCGCAAGAUUAAAACUCAAAUGAAUUGGCGGG